ACACUCCUACGGGAGGCAGCAGUGGGGAAUAUUGGACAAUGGGCGCAAGCCUGAUCCAGCCAUGCCGCGUGAGUGAUGAAGGCCCUAGGGUUGUAAAGCUCUUUCACCGGAGAAGAUAAUGACGGUAUCCGGAGAAGAAGCCCCGGCUAACUUCGUGCCAGCAGCCGCGGUAAUACGAAGGGGGCUAGCGUUGUUCGGAAUUACUGGGCGUAAAGCGCACGUAGGCGGAUCGAUCAGUCAGGGGUGAAAUCCCAGGGCUCAACCCUGGAACUGCCUUUGAUACUGUCGAUCUGGAGUAUGGAAGAGGUGAGUGGAAUUCCGAGUGUAGAGGUGAAAUUCGUAGAUAUUCGGAGGAACACCAGUGGCGAAGGCGGCUCACUGGUCCAUUACUGACGCUGAGGUGCGAAAGCGUGGGGAGCAAACAGGAUUAGAUACCCCAGUAGUCCCAUG
rnacentral:rRNA from 1 species